AGAAGGCGAUGCACAGACGCAAUCUCGCCUUCAGCACCAUAUCUAUCCUCUCAUGUUCCGUUGUACGUUGCAUGUGGGUUCUUUUCUGAAGCUUUCGUUCUAACUAUCCUGACCAGGUUCUUCUAGUGGUUGUGCUGCAUCGCUAACUGGCAAGUUUUUCAAUCCCCGAAGUUUGGGUAUGUUGGGCGUCCAGGAUGUGGGGAGGGAACCCGGAUCCUCAUUUUCAAGGAGGGGCACUGCCUGGACCGGUUGGCGACGGGCGGUAUUCUGCGCGCAGCGGUUGACCAGCAGGCGUCCUUAGGCGUACAUGCCAAGGCAGUCAUGGACCAUAUACUCAUAGGCUCCAAUUUCGUGGCAUGGAAAGUGGAUGAAAGUGGUAUAGGGUAGAAGCGGGUUCUGGGUUUGCAGCAUGUAUUGAUAUAGAUGGAGGCGUUUGUUGGCAAGGCGCAUUGGUGCUCGAUGACUUAGAGUGGCCGAUCUUAUAUGACUCCGAGUUCGCACCCUCGAAGGUGGCUGGCCGCAGUGGGACACAGGUGCCAGUCUCUUCCACGUGGCCAUGCAAACAUCUAGGGUCAGAGCAUAUUUUUAGGUUUGAAUUUGUGGCCAGCAGAUCACUGGAGUGCAUUUGAUUCAACGCAAAGAUGACACCAUGGAAGUAUGGAAGAAGUUUCUGCCGUCGUUCCACGAACAGUCCACACCUGUGAUUGAGUACUACACUCAAAAGGGCAUUGUAAGGAACAUUGAAGCUGCGAAGUCAGCUACAACAUUCGUCAGUCAGGAGAUCCAGAAAGCCAGAAGUCUGAAUGCUGUACAGCUAAUUUACUACUUCGCCUGCUCGAGCCAGCUUAAGUAAAAUUUUGGCUGUUUGAACUGCUUUUGAAGCGGAGGUUGCACACUUCUCCCCUUCUCCCCUUCUCCAUCUGCCCAUGCAUCUAAUUUGGCAACGUGAUUCUCUAGUCCAUCUAUUUUUGAAACUGUGAUGAAAAAACAAUGGAAUCAAUUUUCUACUCCUCGAGCCACUGGGGAACUAGGACGGUCAGUAGGAUAUAUACACAAGCUCUCAAGCAGGUUCAUAUGAAAGAUUCUUUUUAUUCAGCUCCGAUGUAACAUUCCAACACAGUCGCAUCAUGUGAUUGAGACUGAAAAAAGAAGCCCUAGUUUUUUACA